rnacentral:rRNA from 1 species
UGGCGAACGGGUGAGUAACGCGUGGAUAACCUACCUGUCCGACCGGGAUAACACCUGGAAACGGGUGCUAAUACCGGAUACGCUCACGGGUUCACAAGAGCUUGUGAGGAAAGGGGAGACCCGCAGACAGAUGGGUCCGCGUCCCAUUAGCUAGUUGGGGGUGUAAUGGACUCCCAAGGCGACGAUGGGUAGCCGGCCUGAGAGGGUGACCGGCCACACUGGAACUGAGACACGGUCCAGACUCCUACGGGAGGCAGCAGUGGGGAAUCUUCCGCAAUGGGCGAAAGCCUGACGGAGCAACGCCGCGUGAGUGAAGAAGGCCUUCGGGUUGUAAAACUCUGUCAUCAGGGAAGAAGAAAGUGACGGUACCUGAGGAGGAAGCCCCGGCUAACUACGUGCCAGCAGCCGCGGUAAAACGUAGGGGGCGAGCGUUGUCCGGAAUUACUGGGCGUAAA